GUUAAAUCCUGAGGAACAGAAGAACAACACGGAGACGAUUUACCAAAGAACACAAACGAAUCUAAACCACAAACACAAACUGGAUGUUUUCUUUUCAUUCAACCUCUAUUCAAAAAGCUUUUUGAAACAGAAGCAUCGUUAUCCUGAUCAGAGAAGCAGCAGAAACAUGACCAGUUACAUCACAAACUCCUGUCACUUCCUGUCAGUGCUGCAUGUUUCUGAUCUGUUCAGGUGUUAAAAUGACAGAAUCAUGAAAUAAUCGGAUGGAAGACUCAGAGUUCACCUGUGAACCAUCCUGUUGAUGCUCAACACGUCAUGCAGCUAUACGGAAAAUGUGCAGAAUUUUAGAAAUGAGGAAUCUGUUUGCUGGAGUUAAGGCGGUAUCAUGAUCACCUCACCUGAGCUGCACACCUGAACUAUGCACCUGACCUCCACAGGGGAACCAUGCAUCUGAGCUGCACACCUGAGACGCACACCUGUGGAAUCUAUUUCUACAAAACAUUUAUUGGAGUAAUUUGUUUUUAUAAAAUAAAUACCCCUUUGACACAUUUUUACAUUAAACUUCUGAAUAAAUAAAAAUAGUAAAUUGA